AUCAUGUGACGAAACAAUAAAUUACUAAAUAAUUUUUUAAACGCUAUUAGAAAUCUUUUCAAAAAAUUUUUUAGAACCUCUAUUAAACUCAAAAUGGACGAACUAAAGAAACCAUCAAACUAGUAUAUGCAAUAAACGCUUUUGAAAAUGACCAGUAUUUGUACUUGAAGCAAGCAAAGCCUUGGUGAAAAUAUUGGAUUUGUCAAAAUGCUUAACUUUAUUGAGUUUGUCUCGCUCAUUUCUAUUCCCGCGCUUAUGCUGUAUGGAAUGUUCAAGAUAUUUAUGUUGGCUGUACUUAUUUUGUAAUAAAAAUGCUUUGUGAAAGUUGAUUUUAUUUUAAAUUUUUUUGUUUAUUAAAUGUAGAAAAA